rnacentral:misc_RNA from 1 species
AAGCACUUGCUCAACAGCUUGUUGUGAUGGGAUUUUCACACGAGCGGGCUACAAUGGCUCUAAUAUUAAAUGAAGGUAAAGUAGAAGACUCUGUUUCAUGGCUAUUUGAAGUGGGUGAAGAUGCAGAUAAGAACCGGGAUCAAAAACUUGGAGGGGGUAAGUUGAAAAUUGACAUAUCAGAAGAGCAUGCUAGAUUGGCUGAUAUGGAAAUAAGAUACAAGUGC